rnacentral:rRNA from 1 species
AUUGAACGCUGGCGGCAGGCCUAACACAUGCAAGUCGAACGAGUGGCGGACGGGUGAGUAAUGUCUGGGAAACUGCCCGAUAGAGGGGGAUAACUACUGGAAACGGUAGCUAAUACCGCAUACUAUCAGAUGUGCCCAUAUGGGAUUAGCUAGUUGGUGGGGUAACGGCUCACCAAGGCGACGAUCCCUAGCUGGUCUGAGAGGAUGACCAGCAACACUGGGACUGAGACACGGUCCAGACUCCUAAGGGAGGCAGCAGUGGGGAAUAUUGCACAAUGGGCGCAAGCCUGAUGCAGCCAUGCCGCGUGUAUGAAGAAGGCCUUCGGGUUGUAAAGUACUUUCAGCGGGGAGGCGUUACCCGCAGAAGAAGCACCGGCUAACUCCGUGCCAGCAGCCGCGGUAAUUC